rnacentral:rRNA from 1 species
AUUGAACGCUAGCGGCAGGCCUAACACAUGCAAGUCGAACGAGUGGCGGACGGGUGAGUAAUGUCUGGGAAACUGCCUGAUGGAGGGGGAUAACUACUGGAAACGGUAGCUAAUACCGAAUACCACAGGAUGUGCCCGGAUGGGUGUGGCUAGUAGGUGGGGGAACGGCUCACCAGGGCGACGAUCCCUAGCUGGGAUGAGAGGAUGACCAGCCACACUGGAACUGAGACACGGUCCAGACUCCUACGGGAGGCAGCAGUGGGGAAUAUUGCACAAUGGGCGCAAGCCUGAUGCAGCCAUGCCGCGUGUAUGAAGAAGGCCUUCGGGUUGUAAAGUACUUUCAGCGGGGAGGCGUUACUCGCAGAAGAAGCACCGGCUAACUCCGUGCCAGCAGCCGCGGUAAUAC